UUUAAAAAGAGUUUGAUCCUGGCUCAGAUUUAACGCUGGUAACAUGCAUUACACAUGCAAGUUGAACGAUUGUAAUAACAAUAGUAGCGAACGGGUGAGUAAAACAUUUAAAUAUGCCUUAUGGAUAAGGAAUAAAAAUUUGAAAAAAUAAUUAAUACCUAAUAAUAUUAUAUCUAAUUAUGUAAUAAAAGAACAUAUAAAAAUAAUUAUAAAAUAUGUUCACCAUUUGAUUAUUAAAUGUCAGAUUACGUUAGUUGGUAAUUUUAAAGACUACCAAGACUAUGAUCUGUAGUUGUUCUGAGAGGAAGUGCAACCACAUCGGGACUGAGACACGGCCCGAACCCCUACGGGGGGCAGCAGUGAGGAAUUUUGGACAAUGAGCGAAAGCUUGAUCCAGCAAUGUUACGUGUGUGAUGAAGGUUUAAAUAUCGUAAAACACUUUUUUUAAUAUUGUAAUUUUUUGUGAUUAAAAAACAUAAAAUUGAACCUAUUACAGAAUAAGCACCGGCAAAUUACGUGCCAGCAGCCGCGGUAAUACGUAAGGUGCAAGCGUUAAUCGGAAUUAUUGGGCGUAAAGCGUGCGUAGAUUGUUUAUUAAGAUUUUUAUUAAAUUUUAAAGCUUAACUUUAAACUGUGAAAAUUACUAAUAAACUAGAGUAUUAUAGGGGGAGGUGGAAUUCUAUAAGUAGUAGUGAAAUGCGUAAAUAUAUAGAGGAACCUCAAAGGCGAAGGCAACCUCCUGGGUAAAUACUGACAUUGAGGCACUAAAGCAUGGGGAGCAAACAGGAUUAGAUACCCUGGUAGUCCAUGCCCUAAACGAUGUCAACUGGUUGUUAGGAAUAAUUAUUCUUAGUAACUCAGCUAACGCAUUAAGUUGACCGCCUGGGUAGUACGAUCGCAAGAUUAAAACUCAAAGGAAUUGACGGGGACCUGCACAAGCGGUGGAUGAUGUGGAUUAAUUCGAUGAUACACGAAAAACCUUACCCACUCUUGACAUGUAUAGUAUUUUUUUGAGAAAAAAAAGUGCCUGAAAGGGAACUAUAACACAGGUGUUGCAUGGCUGUCUUCAGCUCGUGUCGUGAGAUGUUGGAUUAAGUUCUAUAACGAGCAAAACCCUUUUUUUUAUUUAGAACAUAAAGUUCAUAAUAAAAAUACAGCCUAUAUUUAUAAAAAAUUUUUAUAUUUUUAUGGAGGAAGGAAAGGACGACGUCAAGUCAUCAUGGCCCUUAUGAGUGGGGCUUCACACGUCAUACAAUGGUAAUUACAAAACUAAAAUUGUCAAAAAUUACCUCAGUUCGGAUUGAAUUCUGAAACUCGGAUUCAUGAAGUAGGAAUCGCUAGUAAUCGCGAAUCAGCGUGUCGCGGUGAAUACGUUCUCAGGUCUUGUACACACCGCCCGUCACACCAUGGGAGUAUGUUUUAUUGGAAAUAUAUUACUUAACCUUAAGGAUGGUAAUAUAUGAUGCUAAAAUUUGCGACUGGGGUGAAGUCGUAACAAGGUAGCUGUAUCGGAAGGUGCGGCUGGAUUUUAUAUAUA
rnacentral:rRNA from 1 species